rnacentral:rRNA from 1 species
GACGAACGCUGGCGGCGUGCUUAACACAUGCAAGUCGAACGGAAAGGCCCUGCUUGCCGGGUACUCGAGUGGCGAACGGGUGAGUAACACGUGGGUGAUCUGCCCUGCACUUCGGGAUAAGCCUGGUAAACUGGGUCUAAUACCGGAUAGGAGCCAUUUUUAGUGUGAUGGUUGGAAAGUUUUUUCGGUGUAGGAUGAGCUCGCGGCCUAUCAGCUUGUUGGUGGGGUAAUGGCCUACCAAGGCGGCGACGGGUAGCCGGCCUGAGAGGGUGGACGGCCACAUUGGGACUGAGAUACGGCCCAGACUCCGACGGGAGGCAGCAGUGGGGAAUAUUGCACAAUGGGCGCAAGCCGGAUGCAGCGACGCCGCGUGGGGGAUGACGGCCUUCGGGUUGUAAACUCCUUUCGCUAGGGACGAAGCUUUUUGUGACGGUACCUAGAUAAGAAGCACCGGCUAACUACGUG